UACAGAGGGUGCAAGCGUUAAUCGGAAUUACUGGGCGUAAAGCGUGCGUAGACGGUUACAUAAGUCGGGUGUGAAAGCCCCGGGCUCAACCUGGGAAUUGCAUUCGAGACUGCGUAGCUAGGGUGCGGAAGAGGGAAGCGGAAUUUCCGGUGUAGCGGUGAAAUGCGUAGAUAUCGGGAAGAACACCAAAGGCGAAAGCGCUCUGCUGGGCCGAAACUGACACUGAGAGACGAAAGCUAGGGGAGCGAAUGGG
rnacentral:rRNA from 1 species